rnacentral:lncRNA from 1 species
GAAAUCCACAUGCGAUGGCUGUUCCCGACUGCAGCUGUUGUUGGAGAAUGUGGCUGAACCAGUGGGCAAGGAAGUGGGGAACAGGGGCAGUCAGGCAGACCCGCCCACCCCAUUGCCUGCGGAGCUGGAGGAGCCUCUCCCAGCAGGGCGAAGGGCCUCCUUACCAUGGGGAAAGGCAGGGCUGGGCUGUCAUGUCCACGCCCUCCUUCCAUAUUCCUGGGAUGGUGUAGAAACCACCACGUAUAGACAACAGGAAAGUUACACAGGGGAGCUUCCUCCUCAUGGAAGGAAACAUCUGGGGUGGCGGAGAACAGUCGCCCUGUGGCAAGGAAUAUGAUGUGCUGGGCUCCGUGCCCGGCCCACGGUUGGAGGGUGGUCAAUGGCAUCUGUUAGGUACGUACUUGGUAGAAGUGGCCACAGUGUGUCAAAUCGGUGUUGUUGUCUGCUGUAGGAAAUAAUCUGGCUUUAAAUUCAAGAACAUCUCUUUCCUACUUGUUGGCAGAGCAUGAUUGAGGUAAUGGUGAUCCAUGGAUCUCAAGGUCACAUUCUAAGUUGAACGCAAUUCACAGGGAGCUGAGGUAGUGGUUGACUCCUAGCCUGGGCCUGGAGAAGCUUCUCUGCCUCCUCUCUCUUGGUCCCAGCCCCCCACAGGGCCUGUGCUUUUACCAGACCUGGUUCUGUGUUUGCAACGAGACGCCUGGCCAGCCGGGCCUGGACCUGGCUACACUUGGGUCCCCCGGCCACUGGAGAGGGGGAGCCCCCACAUUUGCCUACUUCAUCAUCGAGCCCCCCACCCCCACUGCCUUCAGGAAGCGUUUGCCAGUCAUUCUUGCUAUCUGCUCCCCGUACCUCCCUUCCCCAGCCAGGUGUGGAUCCUUCCUCCUCUGAGCUUCUGCAGUUUUCCUCUGUUGUAUUUCUCAACCUUGACCCUGUCCCACACUGUGCUGGGCUCCAGUUUCCUGGGUGCAGUCUGCUCUCCCAGCCUGAUGAGGCUCUCUUCAGGAGGAGGGUGUCUGGGGCUCACGGUACAUCCAUGUAGCUGGACUCUCACUUAGUGGCCAGUGACUGCCAUGUGCUGCAUUAACGCGUCAAUUAAAAAUGAUUCUUCCAAAGGCUAGGUUCUCCUGGAGGUUUUAUGUGAACACUGAGUUUGAUAGUGUGGCACAGGAGAGCUCACACUUGUCACUCAAUUUCCCAAGGAGUCGAGAGUCUAAUGGAAUAACCUUGGAUUUCCUGGCAUUAGGUUUUGGGGCUAUUAAAACAUAGUGACCACAGUUUUUUGUGUCUUGAGAGCCUUAGGGGAAAAUGUUAUGGAAAUUUGGUUGUUGUUUCAGGAAUAUAAGCGGAGCCGUCUACUCAGGCGAGAAAUGUGGAGGCUGCUGGUGUUUCUUAUAGCUGGUAUAAAUAGCUUGGCUUCAAGUUCCAUGCUCCUUUGUUUGGAAUGUAAAUAUUUGCAUUAAAAAUAUAAAGUAUGUCCUGGCAUGUAUUUUUAGGGACUAUAAUUUCCAAACCCCAAAUCAGACUAUGGGUCUACUGAGGAUUAAUUUUCUCUGCUUUGUGAACCUGUGUAUGUAAAGAGUCUUCCAAAUGUACACACCAAACCCUGUUUGCUUUGUGCAUGGAAGGAACCGCCAGGAUUACAAGAAAGCAGGGUUGCCCCGGGGAGUGUGGGCCGAGGGCUUGUGUUUCUCUCCACACACUUCUGAUGGUUCUGCCUGGUAGCUGCAGCGGCUCAGGGCGGUGGGGUGGAGGAGUUUUGGCCGAGAUCUUGUGGGUAUCAUCAGGGGCCUGGCUUCUCUGUUGUUGGUUUCCUGGACAUCCAGGUGGGGAUUUGGCUGCAGCUGGCUGACCUCUGUGUCACGUAACCAGACGCUUGACUUUGGAGUUGCAGUUGCUCUAGGAAGAUGUUCGGGAGUUUUAGUGCCCUUUCUGUGGUCUGGUGGAGGGAGCAGGAGGUUCUCAUGUCCGGUUCAGAGGUGAACUGUGAAGGCCUCUGUGUGGUGUCUUCCUCCACUGGAUUCCUGGGGGCUGUUUAGCUUUAAUUUUUCUAUGAAGGACAACCUGGAUGAUUGGUUAAUCCCUUACUGUGGGUGGGAUGUCAUCUCUGGUCUGGCCUCGGCCUGUUCUCGGUAGUGGGGGGCUUGAUGGGCAGCAGGAGCUGGGCAGGCCAUUUGCCCCUGGUAUGGGGGAGCUUGUUCCUAAGGCUCUCUGGGCAGCCUUCAAUGGUCACCUUCUGGCCCAAAGGCUCUAACGGAGAAGGUUGGGCCAUGGAGGUCAGCUGGCCUGCAGGGGAGGACCGAAUGCAGGUGGGCCCCCAACUGGCAACCUCCCUCUUGUCUCAUCACAGGAUGAAGGGCAGAUGAGAAGACAGCCAGGAGGGUCCUGGGCCCUCAGCUGUGACUCCCCGAGAGGCAGGUACCAAGGGCUUCCUUUGUCCUUGCUUCCCAGCCAGCGCGUGGCCCCUGCCCUUGGGAGGGUCAGCUCCUCCUCCGUCCCACUGAACACUGAUGCCUCAGGACUGGACUCCUUGGGGCAGCAGAGACCCUUCCGUCUUUCCUUCCCUAGCUCUGCCUUGCAAAGGUGCAGCCUCCUGAGCCUCAGAGUGUCUGACAUCUCUCUGCCUAGGCACCCUCUCUGAAACAUUGUGUGGGCUUAGAAACCGUGAGCCUUGGGAAGGACCAUCUUCCUCUGAGCUCUGGGCGUGUUGAACUGCGGAGGCUUACCACUUCCUCGCCUGUGGUCAUCUCCAGCCUGACCCAUGGUGGCGUGAUCCUCUCUCAUCAUCCGUCACAGUUUUUAAUAAAGAAAAUAUGUUCCAGAAAGGCCGAGUCCCCAUGCCGCAUCAGGUCAGUGAUCCAAGUGCAUUAUAGUGAAAGUCAGAGGAAAUAGCUGCUUUUAGGACACGCUGAACUUGCCUAAGAAAGUUAUUAGUGGGAAUAAAUGAGGGGGAAGAAAGCAUGCUCCGACUAACGAGAACAGUAUCAGCCUGACAUUUUGUGUCGUCCUAACUUUGAAAAGCUAUUUAUACCCACUUGCUAGCAGUUUCUAUGAGAAAUUAGAUAUGAGGAGAUGUACAGAAGAGAAGAGUGGGAGCUGGGUGACUGUGAGCUCCUCCUCAGAAACAUCUUCCAGGCAAAAAAAAGGAAAAGAAAAAAUCAUUUGCUCACCUAUCGACAAUAGAAAAUCCAGGGAUCUUUUGCAUUGUAUAAAAUUUGGCUCAGAGAAGAAAAAUGAUGUAUUGAAAAGAAGAUGAAGCUUCAGUUGCCAUUUGAGUGGUGGAAAAUAAAUUUGCUUUCGGCCCUUAAAAUGGAAAUAAGUCGAUAGAAAAAUGCAGGCCUGCCCCCUUUUGAGUCAGCAGUUUUUUUGGUUGAUGAAAGGGUGAGAAGACGUGCUCACUGGAAGUCACCCGCUGGAUCACUUAGGAAGCCGCAGAAGUGCCGAAGGACAUGCAUGUGUAUCUUUCAAAGUUCUCAACUGAUUUAUUAAAAAAAAUCAUAAAGCAGACUUUUGAAAAACCUGUUCAAUCUAUUCUUCUUUAACAGCUUUACUGAAAUGUAAUGCACACACCAUAAAAUUCACCCAAAGUAUACAAUUCCAUGUUUUUUAGUAUAUUGACAGAUACGUGCAACCACUACCACAGCUAAUUUUAGAACUUUUUUUAAUCUCAAAAAGACAUCUUGUACACCUUAGCUAUCACCCCUUUAUCUCCCCAUUCCCCUACAUGUACCCUUCAGCCUUGAGCAACCACAAAUCUACUUCUUGUCUCUGUCCAGCCCAAUUCCUCUAUUGUGGACUUUCGUAUGAGCAGAAUCACAUAGAAUGAGGUCUUUUGUGACUGGCUUCUUUUACUCUGUGUAACUGUCAUGGUUCAUCCAUGCUGUGGCAUGCGUCAGCACUUCCUUCCUUUUCAUGGCUGAAUAAUAUUCCAUCGCAGGGAUAGACCACAGUUUCAUGGAUCCAUUUGUCCAUUGAUAGACAUUUGGGUGGUCUCCACCUUUGGCUCUUAUGAAUGAGGCGGCCAUAAACGUUUGUGUACAAGCUUCUUUGGGUGUGGACAUGUGUUUCCGUUUCUAGGGUUAUGUUUUAUGAGACGUUUUCACUUUCUUCUAAUAAUAAGAUUCAUUUUUUAAACAACACUCUUUCCCUGGCCCUAGAAAAGGCUUUGUUCUUAGAUGGGAUCCCGAUCCCCCUGUCAGUGAUCCUGGCUGAGAUACUGAAUUGUCUGAAUUUUAGAGCUGGAAAGGCCUUCGGGCGAACGUGGUUCAGCCCCUUUUUAUAGAUGGGGAAGCUGAGGGCCAGAGAGGCCACACAUAAAGAGACAGGAUUGAAUACCGGUUUUUGGAGUUACAAUCCAAUUACUCCAAAAGUUCUCCCUAAACUCUUACUAAAACCCCAGGUUGCCUUCUUGACUGGCCUGGGGCAGCAGAUUAAGGUGGGUUGGGUGAACAGAUGGUGGUUAGCUUGCCCUCUUUUAUGUGAUUAUGGGUCAAGGUUUUCAGUCAUCCAAUGUACUCUUGCCUGUUUUCCUUUCACCCAUCUGUCUGUCCAUCCAAUGUCCAUCUGAUGUCCGAGGCCCAGAACAUCUCCCCAUCCACCAGCGGCCGAAUAAGAACAGCACCUUGUGGCGCCAGCAUCUUUCUAGUUCUUUCUCCCCUGCGGUGAUGGGCGGCCCGGCUGCUUAUCCGGGGAAUAAUUAAAUUAGGAACCAAUUCAGAGAAUGAAAUUUUAUCUGAUUUGGCCAAGCCCGUAAUAAGCAAGGGGCUGUAAUUGUGACUCCAGGAUACAUUAGGAAGUUGUUUUUUCAAGGGUACGCUGGGUGAAAGCAUUGAAAGAAAUAUGUGGAGACCAGGCCGGGAGAUCUCCCUGGGCCAGGUUUCUUGCAUGGCCUGGGGGUGUGGUCCCACAGGGCGGCUGUGUCCUCAGGCUGGUCCUUCCAGCGUUUAUGUUUCCAGGCACCAUUUAGCUCUGAUGAGGUAGAUAAAAGUGUUUUGUGGCUGGAGUGUUCUCUGUGCUUAGGAAAGUUCUGUUAAAAUCCUUAUGGAUAUCUAUCUCAUUGUUAUCACUGAUAUUCUAAAGCACCUUUACAACUGUAAUAAGAAGUAAACUUGGCAGAAACUCUGUGGCUAUAAAUCAGGGGUGCCGCUUUGCAACCCCCACGGAGCUUAUUGAAAGAAAUGCACAUACUUUGGUCCUACAUCAGCUGUUACAUCAAGUCUCCGGGGAUGGAUGCUGGGCAUUUGUGUGUGUGUGCACGCGUGUGUGUGUGCAUGCGUGCAUGUGUGUGCAUGCGUGCAUGUGUGUGCAUGCAUGGACCUGGAUUCGUUAAGCUCUUUAGCUAAGAAACGCUGAGGGAACUUAGCAGUGAUUGUAAUCAUUCUUCUAAUGAGAAUUUCCAGUUCUCCUAUGGCAAAGAUAAGGGACAGAUAAUUAGCACAGUGGUCUCAGGAAUGAGCCUCAUUUGUCCUCAAUCUGUGAUGAGACUUUGUGACUGUCUUUGAGUUUCAUGUUCAGAUUCCCUGAUUGUAACUAACACACAUUGUUCAUCACUUGGUAGCAGUGGUGGAAUUUUAGAUCUGUUUUUCUCUUGGGGAAGGACCCCAUUCUCAUCCCCACAGUGGCCCAGGCUGGAGGCCCAGGAGUCUCCUUUGACAGAUAGCUGGUCAGUGCAGAAUUGCUUCCUUUGUGUCUCUGCCACUGGAAGGUUAUCUGUUCCUUCAGAACAGGAAAUGUGUCUUAUUCAACGUGGCAUCCCCAGGGCCUAGUCCAUGGGAAAGAAUGAUUGGGCCGAUGGACAGACAGAUGGGUGAAAGGAAAACAGGCAAGAGUAUAGUGAAUAAUUGAAAACUUUGACCCAUAGUGCAGGGAUGGUGAGUGUCUUUCAGAUCGUCUGUUUAUAGCUGGGGAAACGGAGGCCUGCAGAAGUCAGUGACUUGCCCUAAUCCUUCAGCUUUGAUCAAGAAGAACAUUGGGGAGCCUGGCCCUUCAAUGUCUUCAACUCUUCUGACUCAGGCUCUGCACAUCCUCUUGAGAGUCACCCUCCAGUGAAAAGAACUCUUUAUUGAGGCCCUGCUGUGUACCCCAUGCUGUUCUAGGAGCUGGGGAUCUAGCAGUGAGUUAGACACACAGGGUCCCAGUGCUCACAGAGGGCAUAUCCUCAUGGAGAGAGACAGGCAGCAGACAAGGUCGCAAAUAUCAGAGAAUAGACAGGCAUAAGGGCCAUGUGCUGGAGUGACCAGCUGGUGUGCGGGAAAGGCCUUUCCACAAAGGUGACAUCUCCGUUGAUUCUUGAAUGUUCAGAGGGUGCUGCUGUCUGAUGCUUGGAAGGAGGGAACAGUCAGUGCCAGGACCCCAAGGGGAGAACCUGUUGAUGGGAUGGGAUUCAUUUAUGCUCGGGAGAAAGAGACUUGGUUUAUUGGACGCCUGGGUUGAUUUUCUUCUCUUCUGCAUCCUCUGCACUGACAUUUGCAGCUCUGCCUUCUCCCCGUCCCGUCUCUGGGUGAAGAACACCUGUCCGAUGCUCGCUGGCCUGCAGCUGCUGCAGAGUUUCAGAAAACAGGGCUAGCAAAAAACAAAGCAAAACCCCAACAUCCCUGUCCUCUCACUAAGGGCUUGGCUGGGGAGGCAGAGUUAUUUUUAUGUAAGCACAUGCUUGAGGGGGUACGUCUUGGGGUGGGCAGCUGAAACCACACUCAUAAAAACAAGACCGAAAUAGGACUGUGAAUUCCCAAAGGUGAACACAGGCCGUUAACUUGAAUUUGGUGACAGUUCCAUGCAGCCUAGGUCCUGGAGCGGGAACCCUUUGGAGGGGGAUGAGGCAUGGAAAACUGUUUGCUGAUUUGGCCUCUUCUUUAAGCAUUGCUUUCCGGCCCUGGCUGUGACAGAGACCUGGCCCUUGCUCAGGAUUUGAGCCCCCUCAAGGGGAAGUUCUUCCUCCCUCCUGGUGCUGCCUCCAGCUGUUUCUGUCUCCUCGUCAGUAAGAACCUCUGUUUCUUGAGGGCCCUCCUGUUGGUUGUCCUCUUGUUGCAGCCACCUCCCUACCUGCGAGGGAGUGGGCCCCAGGCUGCCUCUCCAUCCCAGGUCCUGCUGUUAACCUGGGUAACCGUGGUCUCCAUGGGGCAGCACUCUGGCCUCCCAGGUCCUGCAUCAGGACACCCUGAACCUUGUCUACUCCUGGACUGCUCCAUACCACAUGGAGUCCGUCCUUGUUAAUGACGUGUUAAUGCCAGGCUUUCUUGUGGAAACCACACCCAAGACACCAGCUGGUCAACCUGACACACAGUAGGGCCUCAACGGAUUGUGUCAUCAGUUAUUUUCAUAAACUUUAAAUCUCUUUCUGGUCUCCCCAGACAUCCUUAAGAGUGAUCCUUUGUCACAUUGCAAAGUUUUCCCAAUAAAUAUUGGUCAGUAGUUGUGACAGUAAUAUACAUCUCCAUUUUAUGUUGUUGACUAAUUUUUAAAUGGUGGACAAAACAUAAAUUUUUCUACAUUUUAAUAAAUGGAAAGAUAAAAGAAAUUUUUUUUUCUGAGUAGUUUGGUUUAGAAUCAUUCCAGUUGUUCAUUCAGCAUCUCUUCCCAAGUCACAUGAGUCCUACACCAGGCAGCUGUGGCUGUAUUGACAUGCUGAAUGCUUGCUCAGAGUCCCCAUAAUCUCUUGGCACUCCUAUAUGCUGCCUCAUACUUUUAUUUUAAUUUUUUAUUUUGAAAUAAUUUCAGACUCACAAGAAGAUGCAAAAAUAGUAGACUCCCUGUGUACCCUUCACUCAGCUUCCCACAGGGAGAACAUCUUAUGCAACCCUCAGACAUGAUCAAAGCCAGGAAACUGACACUGGUACAAUAGCAUUAACUGAGCUGCAGACCUUAUUUUUCUUAUUAAACCUAGGGAUCUACAGCAUUUUAGAAGCAUUUUAGAAUUUCAUAAGCUUUAGCAUUGUUGUUUGUCUUUUAGAGGAUGUUUCAAUCCCUUCCAAUUGACAAUCAGUUAAAAUUCGUUUCCGUAAGUUCAACAAAUACUGGAGGAUGAAUUUCACAGGUUCCACGGGUCCACAUGGCGCUCUAUGGGUGCAUCGUCUCUGAUGGGUGCACAGAGGUGACCUUCUACCUCAGAUCUGAGAGAUUCUGAGACAUAAAGAACCUUAGACAGUAGUUUGGUUUAUAGGACAGACCAGGGGAGCUGGAGUUCUGAUAAUGGAAACCAGGCUGCAUUGAGUAUUUAGUAUGCUUUAGGUUUUAUCUACUUUAUUUCAUUUCAUACACUCAGCAACCUUUGAGGUAGAUACAGUUAACAUCCCCAUUUUACAGAUGUAAGAACUGAGUUCAGAGGAGUUCACCCUGCCCACAUUCCUGCAGCUGGAUGGUAGAGUUGGGCGUGGAAUAUAGGCAGUGUGAAGUCAGAGACUGCUUGUUCUUAACCUUGCCGGGCUCCCUCCUUGGCUCAGGCCUGCACAGUGACUGCUGUGUGCCCUGGGGCUGUCCUGACUUCUCUGAGUCUCUGUUUCUUUACCUGCAAUGCAAGAGGCUUGUGUGAGAUCUGCCGUGUCCCUUCCAUUUCUGAGUGCAGGUGGUUUUAUUGGUGAAAACAAUUCUACCCGUAGAGCUAGAAACACCCAAGCAACAUCCAAAUGAAAUUUGUACCUUGCCCCUUGUAGGUGCUUUUAAGGUUGGUAGAAUUUCUGCAGCCUAGUUUGGUUUGAUGGGAGCCUCAAUUCCAAUUGAAUUAUGCUCUGGUGUAUUUUAAUUAAACCAUCUACAAGCUGAUUUUAUAAAGAGGCAGAAUCCCCAUGUAGUGAGCUGUGCCUGCCUCCCUCUGUGCUCAACUCUGGAGCCGAGUGAGGCUCGUAAUAACCAGAGGACUGUGCGAGCUGCUCAGGCUCGGCCUCAUGGGCAGCAUUAAUUGUGAGAUGCCACCGGAACGAGAUGCGAGGGCAUUAUCAGCAUAUACUUAAUUGAUUUUGCAUUCUCCACAAAGGAAGGUUAAAAUUAAGCUUGUUUGUAAAUGGUGUUUAAACUGCACAGGCUUGGGGAUGAGUUGCAGAAACUAACAGAGCAGGGCACUGGUUGGAGGGCCUAAUUUUCUCUUUAGGUGGUGGACAGAGCACAUCACUCAACUAAGGUAAAGAUUUUCCCAUUUAAAGGGGCUGAAAGAGUGUAAGCCUCGGCUCGUAAAUUUGACAGACAAGGCCUCCGCUUGAGUGCCUCAGGGAUGGUCUGGACUCUGGGGAUGAAUGUGUAAUCACAUUAGCGUGAUGAGUUAAAGGGCCCCAUAUUUUUAAAUCCUCAGGCAGAGCUGCAUUAGAGAAGAUGCUGUUCGAGAUCAGACUUAUGAUAAACAGGCUCAUGGAAACAGCCUUUGCUAUCCUCAUUCCUGGUAUAGAAUGUAAGAUUCUGAUUGUCAUUCUGACAUGCCCCAGGAAAGGUCUCUGCUCAAACCCAAGAUGAGCUUUAAACCUGAGGUGGAAUGCCGUUCUCUAAGUAUCUGUUCUUUGGCUCUAACAUAUACCAGGAAUGAGAACAGCACUCUGGGUGUGUUCUCACUCUCCUUUAAUCCUGAUAAGAAAACAUUUUAAGUAUCUCCAGAUCCAUCUAUAUAAUUUGCAAGACGCAGUGCAACAUGAAAUGCAUAUUAAAAAUUAUUAAGAAUUGGCCGGGCGCGGUGGCUCACGCCUGUAAUCCCAACACUUUGGGAGGCUGAGGCAGGUGGAUCACGAGGUCAGGAGAUUGAGACCAUCCUGGCUAACACGGUGAAACCCUGUCUCUACUAAAAAUACAAAAAAGUAGCCGGGCGUGGUGGCAGGCGCCUGUAGUCCCAGCUCCUCGGGAGGCUGAGGCAGGAGAAUGGUGUGAACCCGGAAGGCGGAGCUUGCAGUGAGCCGAGAUCGCACCACUGCACUCCAGCCUGGGCGACAGAGCGAGACUCCGUCUCAAAAAAAAAAAAAAAAAUUAAGAAUUUAAAAAUAGGGAAAGCAGAACAAUACAUUCUGUAUAGGGUGUUUCUGAGCAAAGGGCCCUGUGUGAUUGACCAUGGGUCCACGCCCUUGGAGUUGGCUCUGGGAUCUUGUAGGAUGCUGAUCCUAGACCAAUGUGAUUUAUAGCAACUUGUGUGAAUUGUGAACUCCCCGGGGGCACGGGCUGCAGCUGAAUCACCUUGGUGUGCUGGGAGGGGUCUGGCUGGAGGCCUGACCUAAGCACACGCUUAGGAAAUGCCCGUUGAGCUGAAUCAACUAACUCAUGGAGCCAUCAGCCUGGUCUGCUGGGGAAAUUUCAUGUGACUUUCUCAGUCUCCACGCAUCGGGAAUCUGGGACAGUCUACCGCUAGGCUCUUCAGAACAGACAGGGACAAGGACCAACAUUCUCUAAUGAAACUCACUGACUUGACAGCUCAGCUUUGAGAAGAGAAAACCUGAAUACAAAACCCAUCUACAUUAUGUGUGUGUAUAAGCCUCAAGUCCUGGUGAUUUUUCACUGUAAAAUGGAAAAGAUUGACACACAGUGGCUCUCCAGUACCUCUGUGUGGUUAAUGUGUGUGUCUGUCGUGACUCUGUGGCUCAGUCCCAAGAGAGGGGCAGCCCAUCUCCCCUGGCUUUUCAUCCCUGAUGUCCUCCCUGUGAGCUCUGCUCCUCCCAGUGGAGUAAAAUGCUCCUGGAGACAGUCUAGGAUUUUAGGGGCCACUGUAGGUCAUCCUUGUCAUUCUGGAUCCCGGAGAAUGCCACCUUGCAAAGUUGAGGGGGGCAUAGUGCAUCUUGGUAAGGAAAUAAAAUCCCGCCCAGGAAGCAUCUCUCCCUGGAGCAAGAGGCUUGGAAGGGCCCGGGACUCCUUUGUGCUGACUCUUUGUUCCUUCCCUGCAGGCUGGCCCAGACUCAGAGUUGCCCUUUCCCCUUUGCCAGUGGAGAGGGAGAGAGGAGCAUCCAGGGCCAGCUGCCAAAGACAGGGGAGGUUCUAACCAAGGAAAGCCCGGACUUUUCAGGUUUUAAAUUGGAAGAGGGCUUCUUGAAUGAGCAUUAAAGUUACUUUUUUAUUGGAAGGGAGUGUAGGGGGUGGAUGCUGUGCUCAGCAUACAUCAGGAGAGAGCUGCCCAAGUCAGAUCUCUUCCGAGCAGCGUCUUGGGGGAGAGACUGUGCACCACCGCUAGAUUUUCCUCCCUUUGUCCUCGGUUUGUACAGAGGUCACUGGAGAUGUGAGCUCAAAGGGAGCCGGGACGCUGUGCUCUCCUCUCAUUGUCACAAGUCGAUGGGCCUGAAUAGGCUGUGACACUUGAAGAAAGAAAGAAACCAUCCUUUAUACCUCCUGGCUGGGGAGAGACAGCAGGGCAGGAAGCCUGCAGUGCUGGAGGCCAAAGCUACUCCCAUGGAGCCUCAGAUGUGUGGAGGGAGGUCUGUGCUGUUCCUGGGUGUCUGGGAUUGUACCCUCCCCACCGUGGGGAUGCACAGCCUGUUCUUAACUUAUUCAGCAAAUAACAAACAGCACCUCCAUGUUCAAGCAAAAGCUGGCUUUAUUUAUUUUCCCCAUUAAGCUAUCCACAGUCAUUGUUUUCACUUUCAAAAGCAAAAUAAUAGGAAAAAACUUCACAGUAUUUGUAUUACCUGAUGUAGGAGUCUGAGAGAACUUGAAUAAUAAGUCUGGCUUAGAAGUAUUAGGGGAAAAAUCUUGAUACACAAAAGAGAAACAGAAACAUGAAAAGAGGAAUGUGCUGAAACAGUCCUCCCUGCAAAACAUCAUUAACUCCGCGGGGGCUGGGAGCCUGUCUGUCUUGUCCACACACUGCACCCCACUGCCUAGCACAGCCGCAUUCAAAAGGAAAGUCAGCCCUGGCUGCUGGGAGGCAGUGGCGAGUGAGACAUGCCCAGGUCCUGUCCUCAUGGAGGUUAGAGUCUAGGAGGUGAAUGAGGUGGAAACACUUAGGCAAAGGAUCAUUUAAUUUCAGUUGUGAUGAGCUGGGGACAGGAACGGGAAGUGGUCUAUGAGCAAGUUUGCUGAUGCCGUGAGCCCAGUCUGGCAGAGGCGCGGGGUGCAUUGGAGAGCUCCAGGUCAUAAUGGAGGAAGCUGCGCGGAGGGAGAGGAGGCAGAGACUGCAGACGUGGCGAAGGUGUUGGGUGUGCAGGGGGAUGUUAUCACUGAGGACACAAAACAACGCUGGAAGCUCAGCUGUCUGAUUCAUACGCUGUAUUGCUGACUCUCACUUCUCCCUUCCCCUCUCUACUCUACCUCUCUGCAAAAGAAGGCUUUCCUUCCAGAGCUGGCAGCUGCCCCUGCUUCUUGACAGGAUGAGCAAGACAGCGGUGGUUUAAGCAAGGUCUUCGCUGUGCUCCGGAGAGAUGUGGGUAUUCUGGGGGAACAUGCCUUUGUUAUAAUAUUUAUUGAAUGUUCACUUUUCCAGCUCUGAAUACUGAAACUUAGUGAGAUUUUUUUUUUCGAGCCAUGCCCCAUCAACACUUUUAGGUUGUCUCUAAUGGAAAAGAGAAAAGAAAAAGAUUCAUUUUUGAUGGACUGGGCAUAUCCAAGUUCAGUGUCUUGGGUGAUAGGUCUAUAAAUAAAUACUUGUUUGACCUAUUUUACAGAGGUUGGAAAUCUAGAUUCUAGAUCUGAGUGGAGUUAUCAGAAACUAGGUCUGUUAUCUAAAAAGCUAGAGGAAAUUGACAAGGAGAAGGAGGGUCUGAAAUGACCUUUUUUUUUUGAGACGGAGUGUCACUCUGUCCCCCCAGGCUGGAGUGCAGUGGUGCGAUCUCAGCUCACUGCAACCUCCACCUCCUGAGUUCAAGCGAUUCUCC